rnacentral:rRNA from 1 species
GACGAACGCUGGCGGCGUGCCUAAUACAUGCAAGUCGAGCGGACCGAAUGGAAGCUUGCUUUCAUUCGGUUAGCGGCGGACGGGUGAGUAACACGUGGGUAACCUGCCCGUAAGACCGGGAUAACUCCGGGAAACCGGGGCUAAUACCGGAUAACACCGAAGACCGCAUGGUCUUCGGUUGAAAGGUGGCUUCGGCUACCACUUACGGAUGGGCCCGCGGCGCAUUAGCUAGUUGGUGAGGUAACGGCUCACCAAGGCGACGAUGCGUAGCCGGCCUGAGAGUGUGACCGGCCACACUGGGACUGAGACACGGCCCAGACUCCUACGGGAGGCAGCAGUAGGGAAUCUUCCGCAAUGGACGAAAGUCUGACGGAGCGACGCCGCGUGAGCGAAGAAGGUCUUCGGAUCGUAAAGCUCUGUUGUUAGGGACGAAGAAGUACCGUUCGAAUAGGGCGGUACGGUGACGGUACCUAACGAGAAAGCCCCGGCUAACUACGUG